rnacentral:rRNA from 1 species
GAUUAAGUUAUUAAGGGCGCACGGUGGAUGCCUUGGCACUAGAAGCCGAUGAAGGACGUUACUAACGACGAUAUGCUUUGGGGAGCUGUAAGUAAGCUUUGAUCCAGAGAUUUCCGAAUGGGGAAACCCAGCAUGAGUUAUGUCAUGUUAUCGAUAUGUGAAUACAUAGCAUAUCAGAAGGCACACCCGGAGAACUGAAACAUCUUAGUACCCGGAGGAAGAGAAAGAAAAUUCGAUUCCCUUAGUAGCGGCGAGCGAAACGGGAAGAGCCCAAACCAACAAGCUUGCUUGUUGGGGUUGUAGGACACUCUAUACGGAGUUACAAAGGACGACAUUAGACGAAUCAUCUGGAAAGAUGAAUCAAAGAAGGUAAUAAUCCUGUAGUCGAAAAUGUUGUCUCUCUUGAGUGGAUCCUGAGUACGACGGAGCACGUGAAAUUCCGUCGGAAUCUGGGAGGACCAUCUCCUAAGGCUAAAUACUCUCUAGUGACCGAUAGUGAACCAGUACCGUGAGGGAAAGAUGAAAAGCACCCCGGAAGGGGAGUGAAAUAGAACCUGAAACCGUGUGCUUACAAGUAGUCAGAGCCCGUUAAUGGGUGAUGGCGUGCCUUUUGUAGAAUGAACCGGCGAGUUACGAUUUGAUGCAAGGUUAAGCAGUAAAUGUGGAGCCGUAGCGAAAGCGAGUCUGAAUAGGGCGUUUAGUAUUUGGUCGUAGACCCGAAACCAGGUGAUCUACCCUUGGUCAGGUUGAAGUUCAGGUAACACUGAAUGGAGGACCGAACCGACUUACGUUGAAAAGUGAGCGGAUGAACUGAGGGUAGCGGAGAAAUUCCAAUCGAACCUGGAGAUAGCUGGUUCUCUCCGAAAUAGCUUUAGGGCUAGCCUCAAGUGAUGAUUAUUGGAGGUAGAGCACUGUUUGGACGAGGGGCCCCUCUCGGGUUACCGAAUUCAGACAAACUCCGAAUGCCAAUUAAUUUAACUUGGGAGUCAGAACAUGGGUGAUAAGGUCCGUGUUCGAAAGGGAAACAGCCCAGACCACCAGCUAAGGUCCCAAAAUAUAUGUUAAGUGGAAAAGGAUGUGGCGUUGCCCAGACAACUAGGAUGUUGGCUUAGAAGCAGCCAUCAUUUAAAGAGUGCGUAAUAGCUCACUAGUCGAGUGACACUGCGCCGAAAAUGUACCGGGGCUAAACAUAUUACCGAAGCUGUGGAUUGUCCUUUGGACAAUGGUAGGAGAGCGUUCUAAGGGCGUUGAAGCAUGAUCGUAAGGACAUGUGGAGCGCUUAGAAGUGAGAAUGCCGGUGUGAGUAGCGAAAGACGGGUGAGAAUCCCGUCCACCGAUUGACUAAGGUUUCCAGAGGAAGGCUCGUCCGCUCUGGGUUAGUCGGGUCCUAAGCUGAGGCCGACAGGCGUAGGCGAUGGAUAACAGGUUGAUAUUCCUGUACCACCUAUAAUCGUUUUAAUCGAUGGGGGGACGCAGUAGGAUAGGCGAAGCGUGCGAUUGGAUUGCACGUCUAAGCAGUAAGGCUGAGUAUUAGGCAAAUCCGGUACUCGUUAAGGCUGAGCUGUGAUGGGGAGAAGACAUUGUGUCUUCGAGUCGUUGAUUUCACACUGCCGAGAAAAGCCUCUAGAUAGAAAAUAGGUGCCCGUACCGCAAACCGACACAGGUAGUCAAGAUGAGAAUUCUAAGGUGAGCGAGCGAACUCUCGUUAAGGAACUCGGCAAAAUGACCCCGUAACUUCGGGAGAAGGGGUGCUCUUUAGGGUUAACGCCCAGAAGAGCCGCAGUGAAUAGGCCCAAGCGACUGUUUAUCAAAAACACAGGUCUCUGCUAAACCGUAAGGUGAUGUAUAGGGGCUGACGCCUGCCCGGUGCUGGAAGGUUAAGAGGAGUGGUUAGCUUCUGCGAAGCUACGAAUCGAAGCCCCAGUAAACGGCGGCCGUAACUAUAACGGUCCUAAGGUAGCGAAAUUCCUUGUCGGGUAAGUUCCGACCCGCACGAAAGGCGUAACGAUUUGGGCACUGUCUCAACGAGAGACUCGGUGAAAUCAUAGUACCUGUGAAGAUGCAGGUUACCCGCGACAGGACGGAAAGACCCCGUGGAGCUUUACUGUAGCCUGAUAUUGAAAUUCGGCACAGCUUGUACAGGAUAGGUAGGAGCCUUUGAAACGUGAGCGCUAGCUUACGUGGAGGCGCUGGUGGGAUACUACCCUAGCUGUGUUGGCUUUCUAACCCGCACCACUUAUCGUGGUGGGAGACAGUGUCAGGCGGGCAGUUUGACUGGGGCGGUCGCCUCCUAAAAGGUAACGGAGGCGCUCAAAGGUUCCCUCAGAAUGGUUGGAAAUCAUUCAUAGAGUGUAAAGGCAUAAGGGAGCUUGACUGCGAGACCUACAAGUCGAGCAGGGUCGAAAGACGGACUUAGUGAUCCGGUGGUUCCGCAUGGAAGGGCCAUCGCUCAACGGAUAAAAGCUACCCCGGGGAUAACAGGCUUAUCUCCCCCAAGAGUUCACAUCGACGGGGAGGUUUGGCACCUCGAUGUCGGCUCAUCGCAUCCUGGGGCUGUAGUCGGUCCCAAGGGUUGGGCUGUUCGCCCAUUAAAGCGGUACGCGAGCUGGGUUCAGAACGUCGUGAGACAGUUCGGUCCCUAUCCGUCGUGGGCGUAGGAAAUUUGAGAGGAGCUGUCCUUAGUACGAGAGGACCGGGAUGGACAUACCUCUGGUGUACCAGUUGUCGUGCCAACGGCAUAGCUGGGUAGCUAUGUGUGGACGGGAUAAGUGCUGAAAGCAUCUAAGCAUGAAGCCCCCCUCAAGAUGAGAUUUCCCAACUUCGGUUAUAAGAUCCCUCAAAGAUGAUGAGGUUAAUAGGUUCGAGGUGGAAGCAUGGUGACAUGUGGAGCUGACGAAUACUAAUCGAUCGAAGACUUAAUCAA